AUCUGAGCUGAAGGCAGAUGCUUAACCAACUGAGUCACCCUGGUGUCCCAGGAGCUGCUUUUAUAUUAUGGCCAAGGUUAUAUAUUUGUGAAUACCUAACAAGGAAUAUUUUACUAGUGUUAUCAAUAAAAAUUUAUGUUACUCCUUCCUGUCCCUCUAUACGCAUAUAUGUGGAUUUCCGACUCUGUGGUGUCUAAUGGAGAAAAAAACCGAGCUUCUUUCCAACCUCUGUGAUCAUAACUAUUUGGAUACAUGUCUGUCUUUUCUUCUAGACUCUAAGAGGAAAGGAAAAUAAUGAAGGCAGAGGAGGGAAUGAACGUAACUGGCAAGCAAGAGCGAGAAAAUACGGAAUGGAAAAAUAAGGUAAAAUGAUUUCACCAGUGCCUUAAAAAGGCAGUGCUCUGGCCCUGACCCUCUUCACCCCGGGCUGGUUAGAGCUGAGCUAGGACGGAAGACUGCAGCGCUCACACCGAUGAGGCCCUGAGGACCUUGAAGAUGUUUGGGGAAGUGCAGGGAGCCCUCUGACUGAACUCAGCAGGUGUCUCAAUGAGUUGAAGAGUAAAGCACCACUUGUAAUUAUCGCAGGAAAAUUCAGAUCAUGUCACAGAAUC